rnacentral:rRNA from 1 species
UACGUAGGAUGCAAGCGUUGUCCGGAAUUAUUGGGCGUAAAGAGCGCGCAGGCGGUUUUACAAGUCAGAUGUGAAAUAUCCGGGCUUAACCCGGAGGGGUCAUUUGAAACUGUAAGACUAGAGUACAGCAGAGGAUAGCGGAAUUCCCGGUGUAGUGGUGAAAUGCGUAGAUAUCGGGAGGAACACCAGUGGCGAAGGCGGGUCUCUGGGCCGAUACUAACGCUGAGGAGCGAAAGCGUGGGGAGCAAACAGG